rnacentral:rRNA from 1 species
AUGGACUCCCCGGCGGUGUCAAGCAAUGAGCAGCGUCAUAACCUGCCCCAUGGACAUGAACUGCCCCGUAACACUCAGGCCCUGAUGGAUCAGGAUAGAGCAUGUCGGGAGGCUGAGCUGGCGUCUCAGUACGCGGUUCAUCAACCAUCUCCGGUUCAUCUGACAACUUCGAUGGAGACAGGUGUAACCUCUAGAAGCACAGGUGUACCAUGUUUAGUGCCGGCUUUGCGUAAUGAGUGCCUGCCCAAGGAUUUCAAAGGACCUCGUAAGGUGCCCAACUACACAGCCGACUUACCCCUUGAGGCGUGGAUUGAGAGUUACGAGAUGGCUAUGGAGCUGCUAGAGGUUAGCGAUGUUGCAUGUGCCAAAUACUUCACCAUGAUGCUGGAUGGGAUGGCUCGUACUUGGUUAAAGGGGCUGACUGCCAACUCCAUCAGGUCGUGGGCUGAGUUAAAAGCCCGGUUCAUCCAGAACUUUAAAGAUACGUGCAAACAGCCCAUGUCAAUUGUGGAUUUAGAUGCCUGUGCCCAAGAGGAAGGCGAAUCAACAACCCAUUGGGUGCGCCGGGUCAAAGCCAUCCUACAUUCAUCAGAUAACAUCAACGCUGGCUCAGCGGUCCUCAUGUUAGAGAAAAAUUGCCGUUUUUGCCUCUUAAACGGAAGUUAG